rnacentral:rRNA from 1 species
UACGUAGGGGGCAAGCGUUAUCCGGAUUUACUGGGUGUAAAGGGAGCGUAGACGGUAUGGCAAGUCUGAUGUGAAAACCCAAGGCUCAACCAUGGGAUUGCAUUGGAAACUGUCAAACUUGAGUGCUGGAGGGGUAAGCGGAAUUCCUAGUGUAGCGGUGAAAUGCGUAGAUAUUAGGAAGAACACCGGCGGCGAAGGCGGCUUACUGGACAGUAACUGACGUUGAGGCUCGAAAGCGUGGGGAGCAAAC